rnacentral:rRNA from 1 species
UACGGAGGGAGCUAGCGUGUCCGGAAUUAUUGGGCGUAAAGAGCUCGUAGGCGGUCUGUCGCGUCCGUUGUGAAAACUCGAGGCUCAACCUCGGGCUUGCAGUGGAUACGGGCAGACUAGAGUGCGGUAGGGGAGACUGGAAUUCCUGGUGUAGCGGUGAAAUGCGCAGAUAUCAGGAGGAACACCAGUGGCGAAGGCGGCCGCCUGGACCUGACCUGACGCUGAGGCGCGAAGGCGCGGGGAGCGAACGGG